GCUGAAAUGUGGAGCGGAGGUUGGCUGCUCUCUUUGGUUAUCUAGCUGUAUGAGUAUUGCUGAUCCAUCAUAAAGCUAGAUAACCGAAAGUAGGAGCCACUUCCAUAGCUUCGGGGAGCGAG
rnacentral:precursor_RNA from 17 species